GCUAACGCACUAAGUUGACCGCCUGGGGAGUACGGCCGCAAGGUUAAAACUCAAAUGAAUUGACGGGGGCCCGCACAAGCGGUGGAGCAUGUGGUUUAAUUCGACGCAACGCGAAGAACCUUACCUGGCCUUGACAUGCAGAGAACUUUCCAGAGAUGGAUUGGUGCCUUCGGGAACUCUGACACAGGUGCUGCAUGGCCGUCGUCAGCUCGUGUCGUGAGAUGUUGGGUUAAGUCCCGUAACGAGCGCAACCCCUAUCCCUAGUUGCUAGCAGUUCGGCUGAGAACUCUAGGGAGACUGCCGGUGACAAACCGGAGGAAGGUGGGGAUGACGUCAGGUCAUCAUGGCCCUUACGGCCAGGGCUACACACGUGCUACAAUGGUGCGUACAGAGGGCUGCAAACCCGCGAGGGGGAGCUAAUCUCACAAAACGCAUCGUAGUCCGGAUCGGAGUCUGCAACUCGACUCCGUGAAGUCGGAAUCGCUAGUAAUCGCGAAUCAGAAUGUCGCGGUGAAUACGUUCCCGGGCCUUGUACACACCGCCCGUCACACCAUGGGAGUGGAUUGCACCAGAAGUGGUUAGUCUAACCUUCGGGAGGA
rnacentral:rRNA from 1 species